UACGGGGGGGGCAAGCGUUGUUCGGAAUUACUGGGCGUAAAGGGCUCGUAGGUGGCCGACUAAGUCAGACGUGAAAUCCCUCAGCUUAACUGGGGAACUGCGUCUGAUACUGGAUGGCUUGAGUUUGGGAGAGGGAUGCGGAAUUCCAGGUGUAGCGGUGAAAUGCGUAGAUAUCUGGAGGAACACCGGUGGCGAAGGCGGCAUCCUGGACCAACACUGACACUGAUGAGCGAAAGCCAGGGGAGCAAACGGG
rnacentral:rRNA from 1 species